rnacentral:tRNA from 1 species
GCGUGGGUGGCUCAGUUGGUUGAGCGACCGACUUCGGCUCAGGUCAUGAUCGCAUGGUUUGUGAGUUCGAGCCCCACCUCAGGCU